CAGAAAUGUCAGCACUUCUGAGGAAUAAGGCAGCAUUUCUGAAUCUCAGAAUGUGGUCUUAUUUGGAAGAAGGUCUUUGAAGAUGUAAUUAAGGUCACCCCAGAAUGGGGCCCACAGUCACCUCCACACGGGAACCUUCCACCAGAUCCUGCGGCUCCAAAUGCAAAUAUGUG